GACGAACGCUGGCGGCGUGCUUAACACAUGCAAGUCGAACGGAAAGGCCCUGCUUUUGUGGGGUGCUCGAGUGGCGAACGGGUGAGUAACACGUGAGUAACCUGCCCUUGACUUUGGGAUAACUUCAGGAAACUGGGGCUAAUACCGGAUAGGAGCUCCUGCUGCAUGGUGGGGGUUGGAAAGUUUCGGCGGUUGGGGAUGGACUCGCGGCUUAUCAGCUUGGUGGUGGGGUAGUGGCUUACCAAGGCUUUGACGGGUAGCCGGCCUGAGAGGGUGGCCGGCCACAUUGGGACUGAGAGACGGCCCAGACUCCUACGGGAGGCAGCAGUGGGGAAUAUUGCACAAUGGGCGGAAGCCUGAUGCAGCAACGCCGCGUGCGGGAUGACGGCCUUCGGGUUGUAAACCGCUUUCGCCUGUGACGAAGCGUGAGUGACGGUAAUGGGUAAAGAAGCACCGGCUAACUACGUG
rnacentral:rRNA from 1 species